rnacentral:rRNA from 1 species
GGACUACUGGGGUAUCUAAUCCCGUUCGCUCCCCUGGCUUUCGCGCCUCAGCGUCAGUAGAGGUCCAGCGGCCCGCUUUCGCCACCGGCGUUCCUUCCGAUAUCAACGCAUUUCACCGCUCCACCGGAAGUUCCGGCCGCCCCUACCUCCCUCCAGGCCCCCCGUUUCCGAGGCCCUUUUCCGGUUAAGCCGAAAGCUUUCACCCCGGACAAGGGGGCCCGCCUACGCGCCCUUUAAGCCCAGUGAUUCCGAACAACGUUCGCACGGUUCGUCUUACCGCGGCUGCUGGCAC